CUUGACCAGCCUGAUUGGUUGCAGGAGGGGACCAAUCAGAGGUACCUCCCAUUUUUCAUCUGCAGCCCAAUGCAAAGUAAUGACAUGGAUCUGGAGAGAUUCUCUUAGGAGAGAAUCUGGCUAAGUGUCUAGCAGGAUGAUUGAUUAACAAGAUGUUUUGUUUUCAUCAUCUCAGAGAUAACUGUAUUGAGGUAUAAUUGAUAUGCCAAAUAACUGGACACAUUCAACUUGUGCAAUUUGAUGAGUUUGGAGAUACACAUACAUCUGUGAAACCAUCACCAAAAUCAAGAACAACUUUCUCUGAUCUCUGUGGACAUGCUUAAAAUGGCUGACUCACACAGCAAGACUAUUUAACUGUGCCUAAAAUCAACCCACAUUCAGAUGCUAACUGUAAUCCUAUUCCCUGAUCCAUCAGGAAAAAGAGUCUGAUUGACAUAACUUGUCAAGUGUUCGCCCCAGCUUCUAUCAACUAUGGGGAAGGAAGGGCCAGAAGAGGUGUAACCAUCAUGGCUACCAGGUUUCGAAAUAUUUACAUUACAUACUGCAUUUAUUAAAAUACAAAUUAAAUCUGCAAUAAAAAAC
rnacentral:lncRNA from 1 species